rnacentral:rRNA from 1 species
UACGGAAGGGGCAAGCGUUGUUCGGAAUCAUUGGGCGUAAAGGGCGCGUAGGUGGUUCUGUAUGUCUACCGUGAGAGCAUACAGCUCAACUGUAUUUUGUCGGUAGAAACUGCAGGACUUGAGGCUGGGAGGGGCUGGUGGAAUUCCCUGUGUAGCGGUGAAAUGCGUAGAGAUGGGGGAGAACACUCGUGGCGAAGGCGGCCAGCUAGACCAGUUCUGACACUGAGGCGCGACAGCGUGGGGAGCAAACAGG